AAAGAAAAGGGUCUAGACCCCACACACGCCACUCGGUAAAGAAUCGGGCCUAUAGCUCAGCUGGCUAGAGCACACGACUGAUAAUCGUGAGGUCAGUGGUUCGAGUCCACUUGGGCCCACCAAAUGGGGCUGUAGCUCAGCUGGGAGAGCACCUGCUUUGCAAGCAGGGGGUCACCGGUUCGAUCCCGGUCAGCUCCACCACAGGGGAAGGGGCCCGCAGUAAGCGGGUCGGUCGCUGGUGUGGAGAGUUGUAAGAGGUAGGAGUAUGUAGUGCUGAGUUUCUUGGAGAUCCAGGCACUGACCACUACCCACUCUAGCAAUAGGGGUUGGCGGUAUCGUUCUUUGACAGUUGAGGAAGGGAAGGCCAUGUUUGUCAUCUUGCCGAUGGCAGACCUUCAAGUGGAUGCUUGGGGAUAUAU
rnacentral:misc_RNA from 1 species